GAGUUUGAUCGUGGCUCAGAUUGAACGCUGGCGGCAUGCCUUACACAUGCAAGUCGAACGGCAGCAUGAUCUAGCUUGCUAGAUUGAUGGCGAGUGGCGAACGGGUGAGUAAUACAUCGGAACGUGCCCUGUAGUGGGGAGUAACUAGUCGAAGAUUAGCUAAUACCGCAUACGACCUGAGGGUGGAAAGUAGGGGGACCGGCAAGGCC
rnacentral:rRNA from 1 species